rnacentral:sRNA from 1 species
GCAGGUUCGAAUCCUGCACGACCCACCAAUCGUUCUGGUGGAACGCGAUAGUAAAACGUGAAGGAUAACGUUGCGUCAGCAACGGCCCGUAGGGCGAGGCGAAGCCGAGUCAUCCUGCACGACCCACCG